rnacentral:rRNA from 1 species
AUUGAACGCUGGCGGCAUGCCUUACACAUGCAAGUCGAACGGCAGCACGGGUGCUUGCACCUGGUGGCGAGUGGCGAACGGGUGAGUAAUAUAUCGGAACGUACCUUAUUGUGGGGGAUAACGCAGCGAAAGCUGUGCUAAUACCGCAUAAUCCCUAAGGGGGAAAGCGGGGGACCGUAAGGCCUCGCGCAAUGAGAGCGUCCGAUACCUGAUUAGCUAGUUGGUGAGGUAAAGGCUCACCAAGGCAUCGAUCAGUAGCUGGUCUGAGAGGACGAUCAGCCACACUGGGACUGAGACACGGCCCAGACUCCUACGGGAGGCAGCAGUGGGGAAUUUGGACAAUGGGGGCAACCCUGAUCCAGCAAUGCCGCGUGAGUGAAGAAGGCCUUCGGGUUGUAAAGCUCUUUUGUCAGGGAAGAAACAGCAGCUCUAACACAGUUUGCGAAUGACGGUACCUGAAGAAUAAGCACCGGCUAACUACGUGCCAGCAGCCGCAGUAA